CAGGGUGUAGUUCAGUUCGGGAGAACACCGCAUUUGGGAUGCGGAGGUCGCAGGUUCAAGCCCUGCCACUCUGA
rnacentral:tRNA from 1 species